UACGAAGGGGGCUAGCGUUGCUCGGAAUCACUGGGCGUAAAGCGCACGUAGGCGGCUUACUAAGUCAGGGGUGAAAUCCUGGAGCUCAACUCCAGAACUGCCUUUGAUACUGCAAAUCUCGAGUCCGGAAGAGGUGAGUGGAAUUCCUAGUGUAGAGGUGAAAUUCGUAGAUAUUAGGAAGAACACCAGUGGCGAAGGCGGCUCACUGGUCCGGUGCUGACGCUGAGGUGCGAAAGCCAGGGGAGCAAACGGG
rnacentral:rRNA from 1 species